rnacentral:lncRNA from 1 species
ACACUCUCAAAAGACUACUCAAAAUACAUAAAUUCCAUCUAACAUUGGAAAUAACAAUCUUCCACUCCAACCAACCUUACUUCACACAAUUUUUGUUAUCACAAAUUUCUUCUAUCAUAAUAUAUAUAACUCUCAAUUAACAACAAUCAUAAUCUUCCAUCCAAAAUCAAUCUUCUAUAGAAUAUAAUAACAAACUUCCAAUAUCUUCUCAUAAUAAUUCAAUCACAUAGUAUUUUAAUUAUAUACUCAAUAUCUCAUAAAUUAAUCUCUGAU